GGUUUCGGACAGACAGCGGGAACAGCUGAUCAACCAUGUGAGCUUUUCUGUCACCGGGCUGCAAAUGAAGAGUCUUUCCCUUCGCUGGUUGGAGCAGCCGCCAGAAGAUCAAUACGAAGAAUCUGAACGCAUGUGUGUGUGUUUGUGUGUGUGU